rnacentral:tRNA from 1 species
GCAGGAUUACCCAAGUGGUUGAAGGGGCGGGCUUGGAAAGCUCGUAGGUCUGUAACAGGGCGCCAGGGUUCAAAUCCCUGAUCCUGCGCCA